rnacentral:rRNA from 1 species
UACGGAGGGUGCAAGCGUUGUUCGGAAUCACUGGGCGUAGAGGGCGUGUAGGCGGCCCGCUAAGUCUGAUGUGAAAGCCCGGGGCUCACCCCCGGAAGGGCAUUGGAAACUGGGGGACUUGAGUGCAGGAGAGAAGAGUGGAAUUCCACGUGUAGCGGUGAAAUGCGUAGAGAUGUGGAGGAACACCAGUGGCGAAGGCGACUUUCUGGCCUAUAACUGACGCUGAGGCGCGAAAGCGUGGGGAGCAAACAGG